UAGAAUGCCAGGCCAUGGUGGACAUCAAGGAAGUUAAGUCUCUUAUCUUCAGAAGACGCAAGAGGCGGUUUGUCCAAGCGGGCCAGGGAGGAAUUGGCAGGAGUACAGGACCGGCAUCAUCAGCAUACCCCAAGGAUUCCAGAAUGACCAUUGAGCAGGCCACUAUCCCUGAUGCCAUGUCACUACUGCAGAUGCCGCACCAGUCUCACGGGCCAGCAGUGAUUCAACCCUUCUUGGCUGAACUCCUGCUCUGACUCAGACCAUUCCCCCCCUCCCCCCCCGAUGACUAGGGCAGAGCUGUGGAAGCGUGACUCUACCAACUGACCCUCACCGAUGAUCGCUGAGAAGAGAGUGAGGAUCAGUGCCUGCUCAACGAGUGGUAUCAGAGAGGCCUCCGAAUGCUAGAUGGUGAUCAUGCCUGGCAGAAUGGCAAGAGUAACCUCUCGACUAUCUAUUGGAGCUCAACUGUCUCUGCAGAGAUACCAGUGCGACUAUCUCCUCUGAUUCACCUGAGUCCAAGAAUUGCUCCAUCAGUAGCGGUGGUGUAGUUGGUAGCAGGGGACGUCUGCCAGAUGUUGGAGGUCAUGGAACCAAAUGAAGGACAAUUCCAACUCAGGCCACGUGGCAGGAGAGAAGCAACUGGAGAGGCGCUGACCUGCACUGCCUCUUAUUUGGUUGGUUGCAAAAGGAUAGUCAUUACACAUGUGUGGACCAAGACACUGCUCUGAAGAAUUUUUAGACUUGGGUGCAUGGUGCACAUGUGCACCCCACAUGUAGAACACACACAGGGAUCAUCACUCAAACAACAGCGGUUACUGUAACCUGUGGAUAGACUAGUCCCUUCAAAACACCCCUGACCAUAGGGGGGUAGUGGUGGUGGUGAUGGGGAGGACUGGUCUUGAAAGGCCGAGAUGGACACCAGAUGGAUUUUAAUGAGCUCAUUGGUAGGCCUGACUCUUUCAGUUUAGUAGGUGUUCUAAUAUCUUGAAUCUAUAAAGCAGAUCUGGAUGCUCUGUCUCCAUCAAGAACCUUUUCCACUUAGAUAGGUAGCUUUUAUGGAUUCACAGGGUCUGGGAUAUGCCCCAGUCUGUAGCCAAUCCCUGGGGAGUGACCCCUUGUGUGUCCUGGACCCAAAUGAUUACACAGAGUUCCAUAAGGGUAGGACCUUGCCUCCAUGACUCUGAAAAAGCUGGACCUUUGGGCACCAGCAAUCCUUGUCUCUCUCCCUGGCUCUUUGCAACGAAUCCAGUCAAGCCAGACUCCUGCUGGAGGCUUCUCCAUACCCCUUCAGGGCACAAUGCUCAGUCAGUAUAUGCAGCCACCCCAGGUAAUCUUUUCAAAACAAGGUAGUAAUGUAUUAGUCACCUGGCAUGCAAUUUUGAAAUACAGAAAAGCAAAGGUUAAGAAAGAGUUCAGACUGGCUAAAGCCAGGGCACUCAGAUACAUAUUGCUGUAGGAACUACCUGUGAUUCAUUUUUGUCUACCAGACAUGUGUGUCUGUUAGCAGAGCUCUUAAUACAGACACCUGACCUCUCAUUUUACAGCCAUGCUUUUUUCACAUGUUCAGCUGCCUCUGCAGCUAGGUGUUAAUAUUAGUCAUUGAGGUUAUCAUUCUCUCUGGUCGGGUCUUCCAUUCAAAUGUGUUGAUUCCAGCCCACA